AAUCAACGCUGGCGGCGUGCCUCAGACAUGCAAGUCGAACGAUUAAAGCUCUCUUCGGAGAGUGUAUAGAGUGGCGCACGGGUGAGUAACACGUAAGUAAUCUACCCUCGAGUGGGGAAUAACAACCGGAAACGGUUGCUAAUACCGCAUAAUGCAGCGGCACCGCAAGGUGACAGUUGUUAAAGAUUUAUCGCUUGAGGAGGAGCUUGCGGCAGAUUAGCUAGUUGGUAGGGUAACGGCUUACCAAGGCUACGAUCUGUAACCGGUCUAAGAGGACGGUCGGUCACACUGACACUGAAUAACGGGUCAGACUCCUACGGGAGGCAGCAGUCGGGAAUUUUGGGCAAUGGGCGAAAGCCUGACCCAGCAACGCCGCGUGAAGGAUGAAGUAUUUCGGUAUGUAAACUUCGAAAGAAUAGGAAGAAUUAAUGACGGGUACUAUUUAUAAGGUCGGCUUUUAACACGUG
rnacentral:rRNA from 1 species